rnacentral:tRNA from 1 species
GGGGCUGUAGCUCAGUGGUAGAGCACUUGCCUAGCAAGGCACUGGGUUCAAUCCUCAGCACCA